rnacentral:lncRNA from 1 species
UUCAAGUUGAAGGUCAGCCUGGGCAACUGAUGAGACCCUGUGUCAAAAUUAAAAAAAAAUAAAAAGGGUUGGGGAUGCAGCUUAGCACUUAGUCAAGUGGUCCUGAGUUCAAUCUCCAGUUCUACAAUCAAUCAAUAAAUCAAUAAAAUAGAGGAUGCUUUAUUAGAGAGAAAACUUACUAGCCAGAGGAAAACCUCCCAGCACUACUACCCUUUCAGGACCCAGAGACUGGCUUGGUAUCUGGUGAAGCCAGGGUGUGAAGCAAUAACGAGAAAGACGGGAUUCUCCAGCUGGGUCUUGUAGCACGUAAAUAAAGCAUGCUGGCCUUACCUUGGUAGUCUUCCAGCAAGGGCAGAAGAAGCUUUGUAUAAAGGGAGAGUGUCACCUAGUCACAGAGGGGUUAACAAGGUGAGCCUGAGCUCUGCACUCUGCUCUACUAGUACACAAGGCCAGCCACAAUCAGCCACUCUCUCAACAUUCGCAUCCACAGGCCGACCAGAUAGCACCUGCCAUAAAUCUCCAUUGAGCAAUGAAGCACAGUGUAUGCCAUCUUGCUCUUCAGCACACGGAAGUGACCAAGUCAGAGUUGCAUGACCACAGAUUAAUGAAACCCCUGCCUCAGCCUGGGCGAGAGUUGAUUUAUCCAUGUAUAAAAAAAAAAAAAAAUGAGUCAGUGCUAUUUCACCAGCAGCUUCUUGAAGAAGCUGUUUUCAGAUUUUUGGGGUACCUGAUUUUAUUAGUAACCAGCAGACACUCAUAUUCCUGCUACUUCUAGC